ACAUACGUAACAUUUCUGAGCGUCGUUUCUUCUUUUUCCAUUCUGAAGAUGUUCGCUCUCUUAGUUUGAUUGGGUUUCGGCCUUUUGGGUUCACCUUGCUUUCGGUGUGUUUAUCUUAGCGUUUCCAGUGCUUGAUAUCCACUCUCGAAAAAUGCUUCAACCAUUACUUUGGUUUCUUGCCUUACUUUGUUUCAACGUACACUUUCCGAAAAAUCAAAAACACUUCAAUCUCCACUCUCCAAUCUCACUCGAGAAUAUCUGAAAGGUGAAAUUUUUCAUUCGAUCUGGGUUUGGGCCCUCGUUGCCUCGUUCCGUUUUCUGCAUUUGGUUCGUUUGCUAGUUUGGGUUAAUUAUUAGAUGCCACAUUUGAUGAUAGGAUUUGGUUCGAACAUAAUAGUUGGCCACCGUUCUGUUGAAUUCCGAAAGUUUUGUUAGGGUCAAACACAAAUUCCCAACCACCUGUUAAGAAGGAAAGGCACCUACCAAUAAUUCUUGAUUAGAUGAUGGAAUAUACCAGCAGAUCUUGACCCUCUUGAUUGUAGAGUUUGCACUGUCUAAGGUUGCUCUAUUUUUAGAGCCUAAACUACACUAGCAAGGCUAGAAAAUUUUACAACUACAUUGACCAAAAGAUUGAUAGAAAGGAAAUCUAUUAUGUGAAGAAGUUCUACUUUGAUUGGUGCCUUCGAAUGACUUUAUUUUUUAUUGGUGAAGUUCUAUUUAUUGUUGUAUAUAUAUUGGGCAAAGCAAUUCAAUGUUAUGUGAUAUUUAUUGUAAACAAUUUUGAGUUUGUAUGCAUUAUUAUUUUAAGAGAGACAUGA